rnacentral:rRNA from 1 species
CAGUCGCCGCGGUAAUACGAGGGGGGCAAGCGUUGUUCGGAAUUAUUGGGCGUAAAGCGGGCGCAGGCGGUUCGUUAAGACAGAUGUGAAAUCCCCGGGCUUAACCUGGGAACUGCAUUUGUGACUGGCGAGCUAGAGUAUGGCAGAGGGGGGUAGAAUUCCACGUGUAGCAGUGAAAUGCGUAGAGAUGUGGAGGAAUACCGAUGGCGAAGGCAGCCCCCUGGGCCAAUACUGACGCUCAUGCACGAAAGCGUGGGGAGCAAACAGGAUUAGAUACCCGCGUAGUCCCUGUCUCUUAUAC